GACAGAGGGUGCAAACGUUGUUCGGAAUUACUGGGCGUAAAGCGAGUGUAGGCGGUUUUGGUAAGUCGGAUGUGAAAGCCCCGGGCUCAACCCGGGAAGUGCACUCGAUACUGCCAAGCUAGAGUAUCGGAGAGGUUGGUGGAAUUCUCGGUGUAGAGGUGAAAUUCGUAGAUAUCGAGAGGAACACCGGUGGCGAAGCGGCACUC
rnacentral:rRNA from 1 species